CUGGCACGGCUCGGGGAGGGGAGCCCGAGCCAUCGCUGCCCACCUCCGCUGCCGGGGCAGCCGAGCGGCUGCUCCCGAAAGCAGGAAGGUUGGCGUUCGAGCAAAGCGAGCCGGGGCCUGCGGCAGCCCCGGGGCCGCCGAGCAGGCUGGCAGCGCUGUGCCCGGCCAUGGCAGCCGCCACGCGCAUCCGCUGCCCUGGCUUCGCCAAGCCAGAUCCUGCAAAUCUCCAUGCACGCUCCCACUAAAUUCCGAGGACAUUUUCACGUGUGAGACUUAACUCGCCUGCAAAAGUAUUCCCAGAACUAGGCCUCGCUUAAACUAUCCAUGGCAGCCUGAGUUUAAGUGCCUCUUCAUCUAAAAACCAGUUGUUACCCACACAUUGCAUCCCAAACUGCUGCAGCACCACACCACACCACCUACUCUGUGACCGCAGAGCGUCCCAGCAGAGCCCUGAGACAAGUUUCCCUCUUCUGUGUUGCUUUUCACACCACCUAUUAUAAUAACAAGUUACAACAUCGGCAAUGCACAGGAUGAAGGGUAUGACAUAGCUACCCAAGAUGCUACUUGCAAUUACACUGUACGUAACAGAGAUUUUUCAUUGUGAUUGUUACACUUUUAAAAGCAAAUGAGUUAAUCAAAUUGCUAUUUUUGGAAUGCACUUAAAGGAGCAUUAAAAUGCAUUAAUUUCAUUAAAAUAAAUGAGCAGAUAGGUAACAAAACAAGUAUCAGCCAAAUAAGCAAGAUCUCAACUAUGGAGCCAAAUCCAGCCCUAGUGAAAUCAUCUGAGUUGUGCUUGUCUACAGCACACUUAAUUUGGCUUCUGCAGUCACACAGCUGAUGCUUUAUUUGGUUUUCAGGGGUGUGUAUAUUAAAAAUGUGUGAGCUGUGCUUCUUCUCCAGCGUGAUUAACCACUGAAGUUAAAUUCCCAUUUAGCUUUGCUGUGCAGUCUUAUCACACAUGCAGGUUUUGGUGUGUGUACACACCUGAGAUGCAGAGAGGCAUUCCCAGCCCCUGUGUUGGGUGUAAGGGACAUGAGUUGUGUCUGAAGUGAGGGUGUGAUGAGGUGGAUUUCAGCAGAGGCUGCUCACAACCAGCUGCAUAUAUAUGCUCCAGUUAAUAGGUUGUACUGGAGUCUGUGCUUCCAUCUUUCAUUACUGCUGUUACUCAUGGCAGUGAGAGUAAAGGAAGGGUUGGUGUGUCUGUAAUCACACAUUAAUUUGCUAUGUAGAUACAUCCUAAGAACCUCUCAGCCCAGGAAAAUUACGCUGGAGUAAGGUUGGAUGUGAAUGUAAAGCAGAACUGUAUUCAGAUAGUUUAUUCAUUCUGGAAUGACCAAGUUGUUUCCUGGUUUCACUUAAUCCACUUUCAAAGUGGAUUAAGGUAAUUCAAGAAACUGAGUUCUUACACUGGCGUAAGAGUUGUCUACACAUGGGUUUAGGCGAACAUAAUUACUGCAGUGUACAGGGUAAGUGUCUCGAUUCAGUGUGUAGAGGAGCCCCACAGGUGAAAACAACAGAAUUUAGUCAUUUUGUAUGACAUGAGGUUAAUUUAGCCCAACAUUUGACCUACUUUUUUCUUCAUGAGACAUAUUUAAUUCAUUGCAGGUUUUUCUUCCUCAACAAAAACCCCACAACAGAAACAUAUUUAUGAUCAGUUUCAAGAUAACAAUGCCAUUUGCACUCCACUAAAAAUAAACAAUUUAAUCAGUAUAUACUCUAAAUACCUUCUCAACUGCCCUAAAGAAGAGAAAAGGUUCUUUACUGGAAGAAAUACCAACUUCUCAAUUAUAAAUAUUUUGAGCAGUUUGUUCCAAAUAAAAGGAAAACAAACCCCAAAGCUCUGCUCUGCCCUCUGAGACACCCAUGAUCCAUUUGACUGCAUUCCAUUCAUAGCAAUAGCACCCAGUCUGACUCAGCAAUAUUAGUUCCCGAAUGAGGAGCCUCACAGACUCACACAGAAGGGUUUGCAGAACAGGCCCUUCAGGAGGCACCUUUAGAAUAGAGAGCUUAUUUAUAGUUUGCUUACAGAGGUCUGAAUCAGGGAGAACCUACCUGAAACCCAGGCAGCCUCUCUGCUCUGAAUCAGUUGUAUUGCAUCACUGGCAUACAGGAAAGUGACUGAACUGAUAAUGGGAACAUACAAGAUGUUUUGUGACCUUGUGCCAAGCACAAAGUUUGUCAAAUGCCAUUCAGUGCCAUUCCAUGCCACAGACAUCCGUGGAAGAGAGGUGAUUCUAAUGUGAAUGUAGUCUCCUAAACUUUAAACUUAAGACUCUUUGUUGGUUUGCUUUUCUUGAAGGAGGAGGCAGAGGGGAUUGAACCAAACAAAAACUGGAUGAGGCAGAAAUUAUGUAAGCUCAGGUAGUAAACUAGCCAAUUUUUUGAAUGAAGCAUAAAUAUAAAAGCCAAAUGAUACAAAUUGCUGACCCUUUAAACAUUGACAUGGGAAAAAUGCCAUUAAAAGCUAUGAAGAUGAAAAAAAUCCAGCUUCUACUUUGUGUCAAAGACUGCAAUGUGUCACACAUUACAGGGGUAACCUGGGGUCUUCCCCUACAGUGAUGAAGUAGUCCCAGCUACUCUGUGUAACAGGCAGUGAUGCCUACAGGAUUCUCAUUUUGUGAUUACAAGCAUAGCUUUGCCCACCUGUGCUUGUCUUGGUUAAGGAUAUAGGGAGUGGAUUUCACCUACAACUCCCUCAUGCCAAACCUGCUUAUUUAAAUAAGAAUAAUUCUGGUAACAAAAUAAGCAUUGACUGAAGAAGGUAAACGUAUAGAAAUGUAAAUAAGAAAUCAAGUACUUAAAUUCUGUGGUGCUGAAUGACUUUGACCAUGGGUCUUGAUAUUAAGGCUCAAAUAUUAAGCCUGGUAUUAAACUCAGAUUGAAAGCAAUGAGAGUUUUAUAGGAGCAUGCCUGAUCUGAAAUCCUACUUGAAUUUUAAAAAUUGAUUGGAUUAUUGUACACUCUGCUUCCACAGUGAGAGGUCUCUGAGCGUUGGAUCCACCUGCGAUGCUGGGGUGUCCUGGCUCUCCCCUACUCCUGUCAUUACAGGGGCAUUAGUCAUCCAGAGAGGAAAGUGUCUUUAAAUCCCCACGAGGAUCAGCACAGCACACGCAAGAGGAAAUCUCAGCACUCAGCCAAUGCCCGGCAAUGAAGGAUCCUCUGUGGGAGUUGGUUAGUAGUGCCAAUGUUUGAUAUUUGUCGUAACAACCACCGACUGUUUUGUUUUUUGUUCUAACAAUGUGAAUUAUGCAUUAAACAUUAAUACAAGUGAGUGUA